rnacentral:rRNA from 1 species
CCGGCACGGGUGAGUAACACGUAUCCAACCUGCCGUCUACUCUUGGCCAGCCUUCUGAAAGGAAGAUUAAUCCAGGAUGGCAUCAUGAGUUCACAUGUCCGCAUGAUUAAAGGUAUUUUCCGGUAGACGAUGGGGAUGCGUUCCAUUAGAUAGUAGGCGGGGUAACGGCCCACCUAGUCAACGAUGGAUAGGGGUUCUGAGAGGAAGGCCCCCACAUUGGAACUGAGACACGGUCCAA